UUGACCUCAAAUCGGGUGAGACUACCCGCUGAACUUAAGCAUAUCAAUAAGCGGAGGAAAAGAAACUAACAAGGAUUCCCCUAGUAACUGCGAGUGAAGCGGGAAAAGCUCAAAUUUAAAAUCUGGCGGUCUCUGGCCGUCCGAGUUGUAAUUUAGAGAAGCGUCUUCCGCGCCGGACCGUGCACAAGUCUCCUGGAAUGGAGCGUCAUAGAGGGUGAGAAUCCCGUCUUUGGCACGGAUGCCCGGUGCUUCUGUGAUGCGCUCUCGAAGAGUCGAGUUGUUUGGGAAUGCAGCUCAAAAUGGGUGGUGAACUCCAUCUAAAGCUAAAUAUUGGCGAGAGACCGAUAGCGAACAAGUACCGUGAGGGAAAGAUGAAAAGCACUUUGGAAAGAGAGUGAAACAGUACGUGAAAUUGUUGAAAGGGAAACGCUUGAAGUCAGUCGCGUCGACCGAGACUCAGCCUUGCCUUGGCUUGGUGUACUUCUCGGGCCGACGGGUCAGCGUCAAUUUUGCCCCUCGGAUAAUGGCAAGGGAAAGGUGGCACCUUUACGGGUGUGUUAUAGUCUCCUGUCGCAUGCGAGGGGUGGGAUUGAGGAACUCAGCG
rnacentral:rRNA from 1 species